ACCCUGGUAACCAACCGUCACCCCCGCUCUGUCGCCCGGGUUCGUCCUGGGGCUCACGGCAUCGGGCGCCGGUCCCCUGGCUGGGGUUAGGUCCGGCGGGCGUCUCCCCUGGCUCAUACCCAGGGGUUGGCGUCGGUAAUUUAUAUCCAACCUCAACACACCCCAAACCAUAAGUUGUUCUGAAGCUGAAUGUGGUGCGGCCUCGUGCCUGCCCACUCCAACCAAAGACAACUCUCAACAACGGAUAUCUUGGCUCCCGUAUCGAUGAAGAACGCAGCGAAAUGCGAUACGUAGUGUGAAUUGCAGAAUUCCGUGAACCAUCGAAUCUUUGAACGCAAAUUGCGCCCGAGGCCUCGGCCGAAGGCAUGUCUGCCUCAGCGUCGGCUUACACCCUCGCCCUCUUUACUCCUGUGAGUAUCGAUGGCGGACCUGGCCCUCCCGGCUCCGUCUCGCUUGCGAGUCGUCCGGGUUGGCUGAAGCACAGAGGCUUGAGCAUGGACCCCGUUUGCAGGGCAAUGACUUGGUAGGUAGGCACCCCCUACGCAGCCUGUCGUUGCCCGAGGGGACUUUGCUGGCGGCCCCGCAGGAAUUCGGGCUUAUGUCCGAACUUUCACUUUCGACCUGAGCUCAGGCAAGACUACCCGCUGAA
rnacentral:rRNA from 1 species